GUGGUAGCUCAGUGGUAGAGCAUCUGUCUCGUGCACAGAAGGUCCCAGGUUCAGUCCCUGCCAUUUCCA
rnacentral:tRNA from 1 species